GGUCAUGGCUCAGUGGUAGAGUGCUUGCCUAGCAUGCAUGAGGCACUGGGUUUGAUCCUCAGCACCA
rnacentral:tRNA from 1 species